rnacentral:rRNA from 1 species
UACGGAGGGUGCGAGCGUUGUCCGGAUUUAUUGGGUUUAAAGGGUGCGUAGGCGGUUUGAUAAGUCUGGGGUGAAAGCCCGCUGCUCAACAGCGGAACUGCCCUGGAUACUGUCGGACUUGAGGACAGACGAGGUUGGCGGAAUAGAGGGUGUAGCGGUGAAAUGCAUAGAUACCCUCUAGAACUCCGAUUGCGAAGGCAGCUGACUAGACUGUACCUGACGCUGAGGCACGAAAGCGUGGGGAGCGAACAGG